rfam:Drechmeria coniospora strain ARSEF 6962 chromosome 03, whole genome shotgun sequence.
NNNNNUUCUUAGUUGGUGGAGUGAUUUGUCUGCUUAAUUGCGAUAACGAACGAGACCUUAACCUGCUAAAUAGCCCGUAUUGCUCCGGCAGUACGCUGGCUUCUUAGAGGGACUAUCGGCUCAAGCCGAUGGAAGUUUGAGGCAAUAACAGGUCUGUG